rnacentral:lncRNA from 1 species
CCAAGAGAUUGUCCAUCAUCACCACCACCAUCACGACCUCGAAGAAUCCGAACACAAAGACACAGACCCAGAUUCUUAUUUCACCAAUCCUCGACCACUUCAUCGAUGCCGUACAGCUCCGGCGAUGGUAAUCAUCAAAGACCUAACACGCGAAACCCAAGCUGUUACCAAAAAGCCUUCACCAAUCCCUAAAUCGAUUAUCAAACAAGCGAUUUUCCUUCUAAUCGUCUACCUAACCCUAGGCGUCUCAGUGUAUUCGUUCAAUCGAGAUCACUACUCUGGAAUCGAGACUCAUCCCGUCGUCGACGCGCUCUAUUUCUGUAUCGUCACUAUGUGUACAAUCGGUUACGGAGACAUCGCACCGUUGACUCCAUGGACGA